rnacentral:rRNA from 1 species
AACGAACGCUGGCGGCAGGCCUAACACAUGCAAGUCGAGCGGACAUCUUCGGAUGUUAGCGGCGGACGGGUGGGUAACGCGGGGGAACGUGCCCUUUGCUUCGGAAUAGCCUCGGGAAACUGGGAGUAAUACCGGAGGUACCCUUUGGGGGAAAGAUUUAUCGGCAAAGGAUCGGCCCGCGUUGGAUGAGGUAGUUGGUGGGGUAAUGGCCUACCAAGCCGACGAUCCAUAGCUGGUUUGAGAGGAUGAUCAGCCACACUGGGACUGAGACGCGGCCCAGACUCCUACGGGAGGCAGCAGUGGGGAAUCUUAGACAAUGGGGGAAACCCUGAUCUAGCCAUGCCGCGUGAGCGAUGAAGGCCUUAGGGUUGUAAAGCUCUUUCACCGGGGAAGAUAAUGACGGUACCCGGAGAAGAAGCCCCGGCUAACUCCGUG